UUGAACAAUCCAUUGAAGCAU
rnacentral:miRNA from 1 species